UACGUAGGGGGCAAGCGUUGUCCGGAAUUAUUGGGCGUAAAGCGCGCGCAGGCGGUCGAUUAAGUUUGGUGUUUAAGCCCGAGGCUCAACCUCGGUUCGCAUCGAAAACUGGUUGACUUGAGUGUAGGAGAGGAAAGUGGAAUUCCACGUGUAGCGGUGAAAUGCGUAGAGAUGUGGAGGAACACCAGUGGCGAAGGCGACUUUCUGGCCUAUAACUGACGCUGAGGCGCGAAAGCGUGGGGAGCAAACAGG
rnacentral:rRNA from 1 species